UUCGUAGGCGGUGCGGCAAGUUGGGAGUGAAAUCUCUGGGCUUAACCCAGAGGCUGCUUCCAAAACUGCUGUGCUCGAGUGUGGGAGAGGCGCGUGGAAUUGCAGGUGUAGCGGUGAAAUGCGUAGAUAUCUGCAGGAACACCCGUGGCGAAAGCGGCGCGCUGGGCCACUACUGACGCUGAGGAACGAAAGCUAGGGGAGCAAACAGGAUUAGAUACCCUGGUAGUCCUAGCCCUAAACGAUCAGGACUUGGGGUGCCACCCGUUCGGGUGUCGUCCCGGAGCUAACGCGUUAAGUCCUGCACCUGGGGAGUACGGUCGCAAGACUGAA
rnacentral:rRNA from 1 species